UUACGGUCAUAUCACGUUGAAACACCAGUUCUCGUACGAUCACCGAAGUUAAGCAGUGUCGAGCCUGGUCAGUGUCUAGAUGGGUAACUACCUGGGAAUACCAGGU